GGAGAGGAGAGCCUAGCCGAAUGGCAGAACAGGACCCCCUGGAGAAGGAUGUGGAGCGAAGAGGGCUGCUGUGGAGGCAUACAGGGAGGCUUUCGACCACGUGGAGAAGAAUUUAGGGAGUAUUGGGCUCAACACCCCUCCAGAGGGGAGGAGUGAUGUGCCCAAGAUCACACGGUCAGCAAAGGUUGCGGAGCUAGGACUUGAACCAGGACGUCAGGACUCUGUACAGGGUUGGGGACCCAACCUGUGCGGCUCGAAAGAACUGGAAGCAUGGGAAGGACUGGGAAUGUUCCAGUGACUGAGAAGAAUAUUCUAGCCCAGGAGGAGGAGCUGAGCCAAGGACCUCAGUGAACAUUUGUGGAACUGACCCACGCUGGGCUGGGCGCUGCCUCUCUUCUUGGCAAGGAGAAGAUGGGCCACAAAACGGGAGAUCUCAGACGCCCAGGCGACCCCUCCCCAGGUGUGGAUGCGGUCCUCAGAGCAGGAUCGAGGGAGCUGAGACUGAGCUGCACUUCCUACCUGAGUGGGGGGCCACCUGUGCACAUGGCCAGCGCUUCCCUGGGUUUCUCCUUCUGCUGUCCCCCUGAGCUCCAUGCACCAGGUGUGGACGCAGCACCUGCUGGAGAGCCACAUGCCAACGCACCACCUUUGACACAGCAGUGCCCCACCUGAGAGUCUACCCUAAGGGAAUAACCCUCAAAAACUGAAAAAGCUGGGCGGCCCCAGUGGCUCAGUGGUUUAAGUGCCACCUUCAGCCUGGGGUAUGAUCCUGGAGACCCGGGAUCGAGUCCCGCGUCGGCUCCCUGCAUGGAGCCUGCUUCUCCCUCUUCCUGUGUCUCUGCUCUCUCUCUCUGUUUCUCAUGAAUAAAUAAAUAAAAUCUUAAAACAAAAACUGAAAAAGCUCUUGGAACAAAGUAUUUCUGAAAGCAGGGAACUGGAAGCAGCUGGGGAGCAGCAGCACGCCCAUUGUAAAAGCUAAUUGUGAGCACGAUUGCAACACGGGGAAUCGCUAAAGAUACAGCGUUGAGUGCAAAAUUGCAUUGGGCGGGAGUUCAGCGGUGGAAAAGUUGUAUAUUUGCCCCUACAAGGGCCAGACGGGGAAAAAAAAAAAAGAGAAAAAAAAAAAAGAAAAGAAAACCAGUAUGCCCUUUAUUUUAAAAGGUUUGUGAUUGGGAGUGAUUUCUUUUUCUGAUUUCUGAACUUGUAAUAUUGUUUGUGCAAUAAAUAUUUGAAUGAAUAUUUAAUAAUAGUGAUUUUAUUAGUGCCUUGUUCAGGGAAGGCUGUUGAAGACGCCCAUUCAAGCUCAGGUGUAAAUGAGCACAGGUCCCCGUGUGGGCUGCCUCUGUGGACUAUUUGCAUUUGAAAGAAGCUAAAGUUUCAGACAAACAGUAGCAAUCGGGGCCUCCACAGACCUCCUGGUUUAGGGUCGCCACUUUGUGGGGCAGCCCAAGAAGGGACAGCUUACAGGUAACAGCCUCUGAGCCUCCCCUGCCCUGCACAUUAUGUUGUACAAUAAUAAGGACACCUGUGGGGUCACACGGGGACACUGAGCUGCGGGAAAGGUGUCACGGGUCCGCAGCUAGGAAAGGGCAGGGCUGGGAUCUGAACCCAGGUAGGGUUUAGCUAAGGGCAAGAGCCUCCUCCCCCCUCUGAGAUGGAGAGGUGGCAGGUGCUCUCUGGAGCCUUCUCAGAGGCAGCCUGGAUGGACAAGGACACUUGUUACCGGUCCGACAGGGACGAGGUGUUGCCUCCAGGGAGGAGGGGGGCUGAGCCUG
rnacentral:lncRNA from 1 species